UACGUAGGGGGCAAGCGUUGUCCGGAAUCAUUGGGCGUAAAGAGCGUGUAGGCGGCCCGGUAAGUCCGCUGUGAAAGUUCAGGGCUCAACCCUCGAAUGCCGGUGGAUACUGUCGGGCUAGAGUGCGGAAGAGGCGAGUGGAAUUCCUGGUGUAGCGGUGAAAUGCGCAGAUAUCAGGAGGAACACCUAUUGCGAAGGCAGCUCGCUGGGACGUAACUGACGCUGAGACGCGAAAGCGUGGGGAGCAAACAGG
rnacentral:rRNA from 1 species